rnacentral:rRNA from 1 species
CCUAUCAGGCUUUGACGAUGGUACAGGGGACCAUCAUGGUGGUCACGGGUAACGGGGAAUCAGGGUUCGAUUCCGGAGAGGGAGCCUGAGAAGUGGCUACCACCUCUAAGGAAGGAAGCAGGCGCGCAAAUUACCCAAUCCUGAUUCGGAGAGGUAGUGACGAGAAAUAUCAAUAUUGGACCUGAUAGGUACAAUGUUUGGAAUGAGUACAAUUUAAAAACCUUAACGAGGAACAAUUGGAGGGCAAGUCUGGUGCCAGCAGCCGCGGUAAUUCCAGCUCCAACAGUGUAUAUGAAAGUUGCUGCGGUUAAAAAGCUCGUAGUUGGAUUUCGGAUCGCCUGCAUCCUCCAGUCCACCGACAAGGUGCGUACUGGAUGUAGGCUUCCUUUUCUUUUGCAAGAACACGGCUUCUCGGGUCCCGUUGGACCCCUCCCUUCGCCCUCGGGAGUCGGGGGAAAAGGCCGAUGGGGGUGCCCGGUUGCCGAUGGGCUGCAAAUCGUUUACUUUGAAAAAAUUAGAGUGUUUAAAGCAGGCGUAACAUAGCCUUGAAUACAUUAGCAUGGGAUAAUUGAAUUCGACUUAUGGGGUCUUAUGUUUGUUGGCUUAUCUUAGACCCAAGUUAGGAUUAAAAGGGACAGUUGGAGUUACUCAUAUUGAGUUGUCAGAGGUGAAAUUCUAGGAUUUAUUCAAGAUGGACUAGUGCGAAAGCAUUUAGCGGGGAUGUUUUCGUUAAUCAAGAACGAAAGUUGGGGGAUCGAAGAUGAUCAGAUACCGUCGUAGUCUCAACCGUAAACUAUGUCAACCAAGGAUCCGCGAACGUUACAUGGAUGACUUCGCGGGCACUUUGUGAGAAAUCACAAGUAUUUGGAUUCCGGGGGGAGUAUGGUCGCAAGGCUGAAACUUAAAGGAAUUGACGGAAGGGCACCACCAGGAGUGGAACCUGCGGCUUAAUUUGACGCAACACGCGAAACUUCACUAGGUCCGGAUACGGGUAGGAUUGACAGAUUGAGAGCUCUUUCUUGAUUGCGUAGAUGGUGGUGCAUGGCCGUUUUUAGUUGGUGGAGUGAUUUGUCUGGUUAAUUCCGUUAACGAACGAGACCUUAACCUAUUAAAUAGUUGCGUAAACUAAGGCUCCUCGGGGCCUAUUCCGUUUGUGGAAACUUCUUAGAGGGACUCUUCGCAUUCUAGCGGAUGGAAGUUUGAGGCAAAAACAGGUCUGUGAUGCCCUUCGAUGUUCUAGGCUGCACGCGCGUUACACUGACACAUGCAACGAGUUCCAUUUCCUUGCCCGAUGGGGCCGGGUAAGCUUUUUAAUGUGUGUCGUGAUGGGGAUAGAACCUUGCAAUUAUUGUUCUUGAACAGGAAUUCCUAGUAAGCGCGAGUCAUCAACUCGUGCUGAUUACGUCCCUGCCCUUUGUACACACCGCCCGUCGCUCCUACCGAUUGAACGGCGUGGUGAGGAUUCAGGACGGCGAGGAUCCCAGGUUGCUUUCGGGUAAUCUGGACCAUGCUGGAAUCUAUUCGAACCCUGUCGUUUAGAGGAAGGAGAAGUCGUAACAAGGUC